AAGGUAGUCGUAGUUAACACCUGCAUUAUUUGACGUUACCUACAGAAGAAGCACCGGCUAACUCCGUGCCAGCAGCCGCGGUAAUACGGACGGGUGCGAGCGUUAAUCGGAAUUACUGGGCGUAAAGCGCAUGCAGGCGGCCUGUUAAGUCAGAUGUGAAAGACCCGGGGCGUUAACCUCGGAAUUGCAUUUGAAACUGGCAGGCUAGAGUCUUGUAGAGGGGGGUAGGAAUUUCAGGUGUAGCGGUGAAAUAGCGUAGAGAUCUGAAGGAAUACCAGUGGCGAAGGCGGCCCCCUGGACAAAGACUGACGCUCAGAUGCGAAAGCGUGGGGAGCAAACAGGAUUAGAUACCCCUGGUAG
rnacentral:rRNA from 1 species